AGUAGUAGUGGUAGCUGGCUUUCUGCAACUCUUACAUGGUCGGUCGUCCACUGAAGCUUAGCAGGGCUGCGCCCGGUCAGUACCUGGAUGGGAGACCACAUGGGAAAACUAUGUUACUGCCGGAA
rnacentral:rRNA from 1 species